ensembl:snoRNA
UGGGUGUACUCAAAGCAGGUGGCCUGAAGAAUGGCUUCUCUGUUUACAAUACACCCAACAGGAAUUUAGGGUCACUGUGACAAGGGGCAUAAAACUUAUGACUUCUCUUUGAGCAGAUGUCCCACCCAU